AGUGAACGCUGGCGGUAGGCCUAACACAUGCAAGUCGAACGGCAGCACAGUAAGAACUUGCUCUAAAGGGUGGCGAAUGGAGGACGGGUGAGGAAUACAUCGGAAUCUACUUUUUCGUGGGGGAUAACGUAGGGAAACUUACGCUAAUACCGCAUACGACCUACGGGUGAAAGCAGGGGAUCUUCGGACCUUGCGCGAUUGAAUGAGCCGAUGUCGGAUUAGCUAGUUGGCGGGGUAAAGGCCCACCAAGGCGACGAUCCGUAGCUGGUCUGAGAGGAUGAUCAGCCACACUGGAACUGAGACACGGUCCAGACUCCUACGGGAGGCAGCAGUGGGGAAUAUUGGACAAUGGGCGCAAGCCUGAUCCAGCCAUACCGCGUGGGUGAAGAAGGCCUUCGGGUUGUAAAGCCCUUUUGUUGGGAAAGAAAAGCAGCAGGUUAAUACCCCGCUGUUCUGACGGUACCCAAAGAAUAAGCACCGGCUAACUUCGUG
rnacentral:rRNA from 1 species